GACAAUUGGGACGUGAGCAAGCCUAUAGCCGUGUAUAUUUGGGUAUAUGUACAGUUCCAGGGGCCUCAAGCUUCCAGAUGGAGCUGCGGCACCUUUCGGCAGGCCACGCGAUGACAAUUGGGACGUGAGCAAGCCUAUAGCCGUGUAUAUUUGGGUAUAUGUACAGUUCCAGGGGCCUCAAGCUUCCAGAUGGAGCUGCGGCACCUUUCGCCAGGCAACGCGGUGACUUGGGACGUGAGCAAGUCUAUAGCCGUG
rnacentral:lncRNA from 1 species